AGGUUGAUUCUAGAUCUUACCAUUGGUGAAGAAGGAGUUUCUUUUUCUUUUUCUUUUUCUUUUUUUUUGAAGAAGGAGUUUCUAAUCUACUUCCACAUAUCAUCUGGAUUUGCCCACAAACUUUGAUGGGAAUGAAUCCAUACAUAGAAUUAUCUGAAGUUGAGCUUGAAGACAAAAAGAUUUAAUCACUUCCAUUUAUUAACAUAUUUAAUUUAUAUUUAUUAAUAAUUUGCUAGAUAAUCAACAUCAUUCCGUGUGCUGAGGAUAUACCAACAUCAUGGAACAUAGACAAGCCAUCCAAACUGUGUCCAAUCUGCAUUUCUGACUCACAAACUUCUCCUGUCCUAGGAAGGAAAAUCCAGAUAUGAAGGAUAUUUUAAACGGGAUGGGUCAAUCAUUUCUGAAUUGACUCCUUCAACACUCCAACAGACCAAACUUUUCAUCUGCAGAGUAUGUUUGAUCAUGGAAAUUGGACUAAAUUUGGAUUUCUCUGAAGUUCUGUAAGUUGUUUCACAGGAAAGGUGCCAAAAAAUACCCAGUCAUCACUGUGGGGUACUUGUGACGUAGGAUGAACUAUGGAAAUAAACUUUUCUGUCCUCUCCCCACUCCCGCUUUUUGCAGUACAAUGGCCCAUCUGUGAGGAGAAGACCUAUAAAACAAGUUCAGAAAUACACAAAGAACCGAACAGAAAAGUCGUGUUUCGGAAAGUUUGGCAACUGAAAAUUUCCUUUUUUUUAUUUUGAGAAAAAUGAAGGAUACCUAAGAUGGCAAAAUGACCUAUAUUUCCAUCAUAAGGUGCUUAAUUUGUAAUUGCACUUGCCACAUUUAAACACGAUUGGAUAUUUAAUCAUUUUAUGAAACUAUAUUAGCAACUAGAGGUUGGAGAAGUUAGUUGGUGACUUUUCUCUGUAGCCAAUAUAAGGCAUCCCAAACAUUCGCCGGUAGCAUUUCUAACAUAAAGUGGGGUUUUCAUUUGUUUGUUUUAAAGUGUUAUCGAAGAGGUAAAUUUCUUGAUGUGGGAAUGUCUUUGUCACAGACGGUGACAGUCAUGUUGCAGGUAUUUUUGGCUUUAGUAUUAGUUGCUUUCCUCAUUUUAUAUGCCUCAUCUAUGUUGUUAAACAAUUCCAUCUUGGACCUCCACCUAGUCUCUGUAAACCUUCCUUCCAACUUCUACACCAAGUAAAUGGAUUAUCUGAUUAAUCUAAUGGAU